CCUUCCUUGGCCGGCCUGGGGGCCCGGGGCCGUCCACCCCUCUUUCGCCCCCACCCACUUUCAUUUAGUGCUCCUCGGUUCUCGGGCCCAUCCUUCUUCACUUUCCUAUAAAUAGGCUGCCUGAGUCUCCCAUUUUCUGCAUCCCCUCUACUUACCGCUAUGAGUGCUCGAGACAUCCUUGAGGAGUAUGGUCGCGAAGUGCAGCUUCAGCAUGCUACCUGGGCCCUGUGCCUGCUGUCGCCUACUGGUGUUCCUAAUAGUGUUGCCGUGGCCGAGACUCAGCGCCUUAAUGCCGUGUUGAUCGAUGUCCACCGCCGUCUCUCCCAGAUUCGCCGCUCCGACAUUAUCGCGGAACUUCCUCCCGUCACC
rnacentral:lncRNA from 1 species